CUUCCAGAGACAGUCAAACUCACUAUUGCAGGUUUGGGUGAGCAUAAACCACUGGAUGAAUCACUCCCUGUUUGACAAGAGCUGCAGGGAAAACUACAGAGCAGUUUCCCUGGGAGUGGGCACAGAUUGGGAUACAAGGCCUGAAAACAAGGAGUCAACUCCAAAACUGGACAUUUCUGUGAGGCAGUUGUUCCAGGACAGACUCACAAAGGAUGGUCUCUGUGUCUCUAGCUUGGGAGAAGCCUGGGACUGUGAUGCCAGAUUAGAAAGGCAGCAGAGCAUGGAGAAUAGAAGUUCUCAGCAAGUAAAUUUCACGCAGAGGAAGACCCCCAGCAAAAUGAUGGAUUGUACCGGUAUUGAAUAUGUCCAAAGCAUCAGUUUAGAACCAAAGCUUUUUGUACAACAUAGAGUAUUUCUAGAAAAGGAUCUUCCCAAAUACAGUACAGGCAGAGAGAGCUUCA